AGCAGCCGCGGUAAUUCCAGCUCCAAUAGCGUAUAUUAAAGUUGUUGCAGUUAAAAAGCUCGUAGUUGAAUUUCGGGGUUAGUAGGUUGGUCAUGCCUCUGGUAUGUACUGGUCUCACUGAUUCCUCCUUCCUGAUGAACUGUAAUGCCAUUAAUUUGGUGUUGCAGGGAAUCUGGACUGUUACUUUGAAAAAUUAGAGUGUUUAAAGCAGGCUAACGCCUGAAUACAUUAGCAUGGAAUAAUGAAAUAGGACGUUCGAUCCUAUUUUGUUGGUUUCUAGGAUUGACGUAAUGAUUAAUAGGGAUAGUUGGGGGCAUUAGUAUUCAAUCGUCAGAGGUGAAAUUCUUGGAUUUAUUGAAGACUAACUACUGCGAAAGCAUUUGCCAAGGAUGUUUUCAUUAAUCAAGAACGAAAGUUAGGGGAUCGAAGACGAUCAGAUACCGUCGUAGU
rnacentral:rRNA from 1 species